rnacentral:rRNA from 1 species
GAUGAACGCUGGCAGCGUGCCUAAUACAUGCAAGUCGAGCGAACGGACGAGAAGCUUGCUUCUCUGAUGUUAGCGGCGGACGGGUGAGUAACACGUGGAUAACCUACCUAUAAGACUGGGAUAACUUCGGGAAACCGGAGCUAAUACCGGAUAAUAUUUUGAACCGCAUGGUUCAAAAGUGAAAGACGGUCUUGCUGUCACUUAUAGAUGGAUCCGCGCUGCAUUAGCUAGUUGGUAAGGUAACGGCUUACCAAGGCAACGAUGCAUAGCCGACCUGAGAGGGUGAUCGGCCACACUGGAACUGAGACACGGUCCAGACUCCUACGGGAGGCAGCAGUAGGGAAUCUUCCGCAAUGGGCGAAAGCCUGACGGAGCAGCGCCGCGUGAGUGAUGAAGGUCUUCGGAUCGUAAAACUCUGUUAUUAGGGAAGAACAUAUGUGUAAGUAACUGUGCACAUCUUGACGGUACCUAAUCAGAAAGCCACGGCUAACUACGUG